UGCCUCAGAGGACGAGCUGUUGCAGCCUUGCACGAUCAAAAUAGGGCCUUUUAGGUUUGAAGGUUGAAGCUGAGCCCAUAUUUUGGCUUCAGAUGUCGGGGGAGGGGGAGAAACUGACAGACCCAAACAAAGGAAAAAUGAAUGAAAUGCAGAUAACUCUUUAGAAAACUUUCGUAGGAAAAAAGCAAAGCGCCUCGUGUGAUCUGGAACAAAGACAUUUUCUAAUCAGAUUUAUCAAGCUGUGAAGAGGGAGUUUUAGCGAACGGAAGCAGCAGCAUUCUGUCACCAGGAAAUACUGCUUUAUCCAGAAUUGGUUUGGCCACAGCAACAAAGGCGAUGAAAAUGCUUUAUAUCUCUUAGCAUGAAAUGCGAAGUCUACAUCAACAGUAGAGCCCCUCCCUAGAAGGCUGCGGAUCAUCUAGCUGCUGGAAUGUGUGGCAUAAGCCAGUGGGCUUUAUCAUUGGACAGAGUGCAGAGAAAGGACCCCAUGAAAGCUGAUCACCUUAGCAAAACAUGAUUUUGUUAUGAUUUCACCAAGAUGGUCACACACCAGCCCGGGAAACUCAAUGAACCAGAGACCAGGUGUAAUGCCAUCCUUCCUUCUCUCUGCCUCAACUCUCAAGGAUUGGUCACCUACAUGUUAUUAGUAAUUAUUAUUUGGAUUCUAUUCAUAUUUACUAUCAGAAGUCAUAGCACCUAUGGGCCUCAUCACACUGCCCUGCUACCUCACCAUUCCUACUCAUUUUGGCUUCCUGCCCACCAGCAGGAACCCAGUUUCUUUUUGUUCUCCUUUUACCACAGCCCUGUAAUUUUUGUGAAUGACUCUCAGUCUCACCAGAAUCCAUAUCUCUCACUCUGUCCCAAUAUCCCACCCCAUUGCUUGCUCCCUGAAGUGAACUCUAGAAUUUAAGUAAACUGGGUUUUUUUUACCACUGUCCACCAUCUCUUAUGAAACCGGAAGAAGAGCAGCUUUCUUAUGGAAUGACCAAGAACUUGUAAAGAUAAACCACCAGUUUGCAGGAGAAAAGGAAGAAAAGAAUGAUGGAAAUAGCUUCUGGAAAACUAUUUUUUACAUUAUGUUUUGUUUUUCUGUUCCUGGUAAAUAAAUUUAAAUCUCUAAGCGUUAAAAAAAAUAGACCCGUCUAAACCAUUAAAUUCUCAAUAAUAAAGGAACAUAACUUUUAAAGGAGAUGUUAUAAACCCUUGGUUAUAUGAAUUGGAGAUAUUUAGUUAGUAAACAUGUAUUUUAA